CAACCAGCAGCCGGGGGAGUGUCAGGGGCGGGGUUCCCGUGUUGCGCUAUGGAAAAUCGUUAGGGGGAUACACUGUGAUAAACGUGCGCACCGAGAUUUAUAAUAGCAACAAUAGGACUGAAAGGGGAAUCUGGAGGACUGACCAUUCACAGAGAACCAUGUCUGAGCGGCACCGGCCGGAGAACAGAUGAGACUCCUGCUGCACUGGAGGAAAACAGGCUUGGGAUAAACACCUGGAGCAAAUGCAAUUCAGCAGAUGUUGCCAGGCCAAAAUGAGAUGCAGCAAACAGGCACUGUAAAAAGACUCCAGAGGAGAGGCUAUGUGAAUCUACUGAUGGAUGUGUUUACAGCAGGGGGGCCAGCAUCACCUGUAGCCCACAUAAACCUUCAGAAAAAAAAAAACGUCAAACCCAUUUGGACCGGGAGCAGGACUGGAUGCCUGAGGCAGACCCAAGAGACGACACACAACAGAUGAUAAGGAGAUUAUUUAGUUAAAUACUUCAGCAGUCCAGAGGUUAUGGUAUCAGCCCAGUGUAGCUGUCAAAGUUAUGCAAGUUUUUUUCAUAGACUUAAAUAUAGAAAUAGUGCAAAAUGUGAGAUUACAGUUAAAUUAACAUACAUUGUUCAUGGCUAUAUGAUGUAAUAUCUAUGAAUAAAGUGUUUCACUUGAGGUUGAGCAGUGUUUUGUUUGUUAAGCUUAAUUCAUAUGAAACCAUUUCAGUCCUAACAAUGUUACUGGAAAGUUUUAUUCACACGUAACAAAUAGGUUCUUUGUGAUUAAUAUAUUAAUGAUUAAUGAUGAUGUUUUUGCACCCUUUAGUUAUUAACCAUGCCACCUCAGUCAAUUUUUAAGAGUCAGAAGUCUCACAUCAAGUAAGUUGUCUGAACAAUUUCUAAUUAUAACCUGUCACUUCUCCCACACCAGAGUUCAAAAAGCAAUGCUUUUGAGUUUUUGAGCUUUAAAUUAAAUUUAAUUAUAGCAUGUAAUCCUUUAAUACACGGCUGCCUGAUGCUCUCAUGCUACAUCACAUGGAGAAAGGACAGAGAAUAAGGCCCGAUAUUAGCCUAAAACAUCAAGCCUAUAAGUGUCAACCUUGUUACCCUUCACGUGUUGUAUGGUUGACAUUCACAUUAACACAGCUGUCUUUUGGAUAACUGAGUGAAAAUUCUUAAUUAAAAUUCAUGAAUGAUUAACCCUCACUGUCAAGGUUAACUGGAGGUUAAUAGGAGAAGUGAUUAUGAAUCUUUGUAGUCUAGUUCUAAUACAUAAAGAUUCAUUUUAGUGUUUAGAAUUGUGACUCUAGAAUGAGACUAAACUUCACCGUCAUAUGGAUAUCGCUCUGAUUUUAAAACCAUUUUUCAUGCUGCAUGUUAUUCAUCCAUUUAAUAUCCUUUUCAAAAUUGUGUAAGCUGGAUAUAGGUUGGAGUUAAAUAAAGACAGAUUCCAGUGUGACUAACUAGAGUUUGCUAUAAUUAUUUGUUGUUACUGUCCUAGUUUUGUUUUGUUUGGGUUUUCCCUCUAAGCUAUUCUGUUUAAUUCUGCGUCUGUCUGCUUAGGUACGUGCACCUGGCCAUGCAGUAUUAAUGCAGUCUGCUUUUGUAUACCCUCGCAGUAAAGGAAAUUAUUGCACUGAUUGAAAUGUGCUUUGUUUGUAAUAAAUAAAUGAAUAAAAUAUAAUACAUCUAUUGUAAGUCCAUCCAUAUUUAAGUGUGUUUGCAUUGUGUGAACAAACCACCUACAAUCAACGCCAAUGCCAGCCUUCAUUUGUUUUAUGUUUUUA